CAGCAGGACCGGGUGAUCGCUGCCCGAAAUAUCGGGCGGAGGAAAGUCCGAGCUCCGUAUCCUACUUCGCAUUCAACUCGUAAAGAGACUGAAUGCUUCGUAGGACCCUCCGAAGCAUUCGGCAUAUAAAGUGUUGGAUGCGAAGGAUGGGGAGCAGCGUAGCGGCUAACGGCCGUCCGCCGAAAGGCGAGGACAAUCCUACUACGCAUUCAACUCGUAAAGAGACUGAAUGCUUCGUAGGAUGCCGCAGACGCGAAAGCGAAAGCGGCAGAGCCACAGAGACGAGUCCCGCGUAUAAAAGCGCGGGGGUGAAACGAGGCAAUCUCUACGCGGAGCAAGACCAAAUAGGGCCGGAACCAGAAGUUGCUCGCUUCUAUCCGUACACAUCGGAUGUCCGGCCGGGUAAGGUCGCUUGAGGGCGCGGAGCAAUCCGCGCUCCAGAUAGAUGAUCGCCUAAAACAAAACUCGGCUUACGGGUCCUGCUGUUGA
rnacentral:RNase_P_RNA from 1 species